rnacentral:rRNA from 1 species
GAUGAACGCUGGCGGCGUGCCUAAUACAUGCAAGUAGAACGCUGAAGGAGGAGCUUGCUCUUCUGGAUGAGUUGCGAACGGGUGAGUAACGCGUAGGUAACCUGCCUGGUAGCGGGGGAUAACUAUUGGAAACGAUAGCUAAUACCGCAUGACAACAGUUAUUGCAUGAUAACUGUUUAAAAGGGGCAACUGCUCCACUACCAGAUGGACCUGCGUUGUAUUAGCUAGUUGGUGAGGUAAUGGCUCACCAAGGCGACGAUACAUAGCCGACCUGAGAGGGUGAUCGGCCAAACUGGGACUGAGAAACGGCCCAGACUCCUACGGGAGGCAGCAGUAGGGAAUCUUCGGCAAUGGACGGAAGUCUGACCGAGCAACGCCGCGUGAGUGAAGAAGGUUUUCGGAUCGUAAAGCUCUGUUGUAAGAGAAGAACGAGUGUGAGAGUGGAAAGUUCACACUGUGACGGUAUCUUACCAGAAAGGGACGGCUAACUACGUG